rnacentral:lncRNA from 10 species
CUGAGCUGAAAUAUGAGUUGUCCAACUCUUGUAAGUGCAUGCUCCAUCACAUCAUCCUGAGUCAGUAAUGAGGAUGCCAUUGUACCCUUCAAGCAGCCCUGGAGAGUUUAUCUCUGCAUGCUGGAGCUAAUAAUAAUGGAAUCUCAAGAGCCUUCAAACAUCCAUAUUAUGCUGAUGUCUUUUAAGGUGAUUCAACUCAGCAAAUUCAAGAUGAUGUUAGAGAGAUGACAGAGUCUAGGUUAGGGAGGGCCUGAGUCCUUGUAGACUCUGAGUACGGUGCUGAGCAGGGAAGAGACAGGCUCUGGCUUAGGGUUUAGAAGGAACACAGGCUACUGCGAUGAGGAUUGUCUGAAGGGGAACAAAGGCCAAGAUGUUGUUUGAAGCCGUGAGACUGAGUGAGAUCAUGGAGGAAGUGAAUGUAAAUAGAAAAGGGAAGAAGUCUGAAGACGGAGCCCUGAGACACUCCAUUGUAAACUGGAAGAUGAGGAAGAGCCAGCAAAGGAGACUGAGAAGGGGCAGCCAGUGAAGAUGGAGCCAGGGCUAGAGUAAGAGCCCCUUCUGGGAUGCUGUGACCCCCAAGUUUGAAGACUGCUGAUAACCCCAAUCUACGAAGACUAGCUAUGGAACUUCCUACACUGAGACAACUCCAGUGGAACUCUGAUAAUUAUCCUAAAAUAAGGAGGCUUCUUCAGUAGCCCUCGAAAUAUGUUCAAAUACAUGAUUACAUUUAUGUCCUUAAUAUUGCUAUUAGUUUCUGAUGUUAAUGUAAAAGUUGGGGAAAAAGUGGAAAAGUUAAAGCAGUGCAGGUUAAUUCAAUGCCAGAGUAACUUCUCAGAGGGUGUAUAUUCAGUGUGAACAAUUUUCAACAGAGAAAUGUCAACUUCUGGCCACAACGGCAACCAGUAAAAUGACUAUUUUUACUGUCUUAUCUAUUAAUGAAGAGGAGAUUGCAUAAUAUAGAUGAAGGAGCAUAGUAUUUGCAGGUGGAACGCCUAGCAGGGCUUGAGUCUCAACUCUGCUGCUUUUACUCUAAUUGACCGAGACAAGUCAUUUAAACUAAUAGAGCUUCAAUUUUCUCAUAUCUAAUGUAACAUAACAAUUCACAGCCUUUUACUUUGUAGUUAUCGUGAAGAUCUAAUCGCAGUGAAAUAUAUUUAUAUAUCUGUCUGCUGAU